AGCUUUAAAAAGCUCCGAGUUUUGGAAGCCUAAGUCUUCUUUGAAGAAGAUAGGGCGCUAAAACCGGUUCGGGGCAUCAAGGAAACGAGAUGCCCUCCUCGUAACUGCCGGAAAAGGCAGGUCCCGUGAAUAUCGGGAUUUGGAAAGGAGCUAUCUGGAAGUUCGA
rnacentral:ncRNA from 2 species